UACGUAGGGUGCAAGCGUUAAUCGGAAUUACUGGGCGUAAAGCGUGCGCAGGCGGUUCGCUAAGACAGAUGUGAAAUCCCCGGGCUUAACCUGGGAACUGCAUUUGUGACUGGCGGGCUAGAGUAUGGCAGAGGGGGGGUAGAAUUCCACGUGUAGUAGUGAAAUGCGUAGAGAUGUGGAGGAAUACCGAUGGCGAAGGCAGCCCCCUGGGAUAACACUGACGCUCAUGCACGAAAGCGUGGGGAGCAAACAGG
rnacentral:rRNA from 1 species